rnacentral:rRNA from 1 species
CCUACGGGAGGCUGCAGUGAGGAAUAUUGGUCAAUGGACGAGAGUCUGAACCAGCCAAGUAGCGUGAAGGAUGACUGCCCUAUGGGUUGUAAACUUCUUUUAUAUGGGAAUAAAAUGUUCCACGUGUGGGUUUUUGUAUGUACCUUAUGAAUAAGGAUCGGCUAACUCCGUGCCAGCAGCCGCGGUAAUACGGAGGAUCCGAGCGUUAUCCGGAUUUAUUGGGUUUAAAGGGAGCGUAGAUGGAUUGUUAAGUCAGUUGUGAAAGUUUGCGGCUCAACCGUAAAAUUGCAGUUGAAACUGGCAGUCUUGAGUACAGUAGAGGUGGGCGGAAGUCGUGGUGUAGCGGUGAAAUGCUUAGAUAUCACGAAGAACUCCGAUUGCGAAGGCAGCUCACUGGACUGCAACUGACACUGAGGCUCGAAAGUGUGGGUAUCAAACAGGAUUAGAUACCCUAGUAGUC